CUGAAAACUCCCUCCACCCCAGCUACCUCGAGGAGAGGGUAGAGACCCUUGGGGUUAGUGGGUUGAGGCGGCGAUUGCAGUGAGAGACGAGGGCCGGCGAAGGAGGGAACAGAGGAGUUGACUUUUCUUUAGCUGAAGGAUAUGGGGAAGCUGCCAAGGCAACCGAAGAAGCCAGGCGCUCAGCAGAGUCCAGCAAGAGUUUUAGGAGUGAGCUCUGGCUGUCCUGGAAUUCACACAUGCCUCAGUCUCCUGAGAGUCGGCAUGAGAGCCGGGUGCCACACUCGGAUGGAAGUGUGCGUGUGCAGGAGGAUGUGCAAGUUCGUGCUCAGGUGCACAUACAGACGGCCUGCUCCCAGGACCCUUCUGUCUCCGCCUCCCCAACGCUGGGGUUACAGACACAGUCACCUCCUCAGGCUCUGGGUGCUGGCCUCAAAGUCCCUCUGGGUGCCCCGGAGUGUUGGACUCACAGCCAGGGCCGGCUGCGAUUGAUGUAAAUCAGCCUUCAUUUGCAUAAGUGACUUUGCGGUGAUUGGUGAGAACACGGGUUCAUUUGCAUGCCGUGCUGUGAUUGGUUCAAACACCCUUGGCUCAACCCUCGCUGGCUAU